UGGGCGGUAUCAUUGUUGUGAACUGCACCAAUGCAAGUAAAUGGAUUCAAUAAUAAUAUCUGCCUAGAUCCGAAAAUAGGACCAGGACAGAGGG
rnacentral:ncRNA from 1 species